GGGAAUUGACCGUCUGGCCGAUC
rnacentral:siRNA from 1 species